rnacentral:tRNA from 1 species
UCAGCUGUGGGUUAAGUUUAUGCUGCUAAUUUGUGGUGUUAGUGAUUCCUUUGGGCGGUUGAA